CGGGGCUCCAAAUCACAUCUCUGGUUCAAUAUCUCUGGUUCACCUUUACAAAUCCACCCCCACUGCCUCAAGAACAGACCCGCGAUUCUCUCUUCAGUGGUUGGAAUGUGAAGAGGGUUCUUCCUAAUAGGAAACUAGGGGACAAUUAUUUUUGAGGUGCUCAGAAAUGGACAUUUCCACAAUAAGCAGGAAGAAUCAGAGCAAGUGGAGGAGGAAAGUGGAAGAAGAAUAAAUGAAGGAACGUGUCAGCUUGUCUCCCUACUGCUGCUCUGCAACCUGCGGUGGAGAGAAGUGAUAAAGAGGACUUUACACCGAAAAUAUUAUUGGGGCUAGAAAUUGUCUUUAAAAAGAGAAUGUUCUUAGAAGCAAAAUGACCCCAAAUCAUUGUGAUUUACCAGAUUAAAUUCUUGGUCAAUUAGCAAAGAAGGGAUCUCUGACAAACUGAAUUAACAGACUAAGAUGGCAGAGAAAUAAAGCCCACUUAAGAAACAAUUUGCACUUCAUUUGUUGGGAAACAAUUUUAAAAAGGAAAUUACCAUAUCUUAUUUAAGUUUACACCCUUAACAACUGGUCAAGAGUCUGAUACCUAAGUAAACAUUCAGUAUGUUCUGUUAAAACAGAAUAAAUACAUCAAUUAAUUCUCCUGGAAACUAAAAUUAAUUAUGAAACAAAAUAAACAUGUGCCUUAUCAUGCUUGCAGAAAGAGGAAAACAACAAAUAUAUGUGAAGACUGAAGUGCAGCCAUUUGAGAAAUACUAUUGUUGUUAGACUUGUGAUUUCUCAGGAGGGUAAUCACACUCCAGCUACCUUUGAAUAACGUCUUGAAUUUACUAGAUGUGAAAUAUAUUUCCCUGGAAAAUUAAAAUCUC
rnacentral:lncRNA from 1 species